GUGGCCAUAGUAUAGUGGUCAGUACGUAUCGUUGUGGAGUGAUCUCUCGAUCAUCACAACAAGUCCGAUGAGACGCCGGUUCGAUUCCGGCUGGCCACA
rfam:Malassezia globosa CBS 7966 mgl_sf_10.1, whole genome shotgun sequence.